UGAGGAAUAUUGGUCAAUGGGCGCAAGCCUGAACCAGCCAUGCCGCGUGCAGGAUGACGCAUCUAUGGUGUGUAAACUGCUUUUGUACAGGAAGAAACAUCCCGACGAGUCGGGACUUGACGGUACUGUAAGAAUAAGGAUCGGCUAACUCCGUGCCAGCAGCCGCGGUAAUACGGAGGAUCCAAGCGUUAUCCGGAAUCAUUGGGUUUAAAGGGUCCGUAGGCGGCUUAAUAAGUCAGCGGUGAAAGUUUUUGGCUUAACCAAAAAAUUGCCAUUGAUACUGUUAGGCUUGAAUUUUUGUGAAGUAACUAGAAUAUGUAGUGUAGCGGUGAAAUGCUUAGAUAUUACAUGGAAUACCAAUUGCGAAGGCAGGUUACUAACAAACGAUUGACGCUGAUGGACGAAAGCGUGGGUAGCGAACAG
rnacentral:rRNA from 1 species